rfam:Caenorhabditis briggsae complete genome, chrIV
AACAGCACCUGGCCAAUAUUAUGUAAUAUCAGAAGCAAAUUGAUUAUUACAUGUAUUGGGUAGGAGCUGUUCA